rnacentral:rRNA from 1 species
CCUACGGGGAGCAGCAGUGAGGAAUAUUGGUCAAUGGGCGCGAGCCUGAACCAGCCAAGUCGCGUGAGGGAAGACGGUCCUAUGGAUUGUAAACCUCUUUUGUCGGGGAGCAAAAGACGCCACGCGUGGCGUUCCGAGAGUACCCGAAGAAAAAGCAUCGGCAAACUCCGUGCCAGCAGCCGCGGUAAUACGGAGGAUGCGAGCGUUAUCCGGAUUUAUUGGGUUAAAAGGGUGCGCAGGCGGAAGAUCAAGUCAGCGGUAAAAUUGAGGGGCUCAACCUCUUCGAGCUGUUGAAACUGGGUGUCUUGAGUGAGCGAGAAGUAUGCGGAAUGCGUGGUGUAGCGGUGAAAUGCAUAGAUAUCACGCAGAACUCCGAUUGCGAAGGCAGCAUACCGGCGCUCAACUGACGCUCAUGCACGAAAGUGUGGGUAUCGAACAGGAUUAGAUACCCGAGUAGUC